rnacentral:rRNA from 12 species
AUGAACGGUCAUAUCACGUAAACUGCACCCGGUCUCGUCCGAUCCCGGAAGUUAAGCUGCGUCGAGUCCAGCCAGUAGUACGGUGCGUGAGCACGUGCGAAGCCUGGGUACUGUUCGU